GGUAGCGUGGCCGAGGGGUCUAAGGCGCUGGAUUUAGGCUCCAGUCUCUUCGGGGGCGUGGGUGCGAAUCCCACCGCUGCCA
rfam:Danio rerio chromosome 4, GRCz11 reference primary assembly.